rnacentral:tRNA from 1 species
UCCCUGGUGGCUCAGUGGUAAAGAACCUGCUUGCAAUGCAGGAGACCCAGGGUCGAUCCCUGGUCUGGGAA